UCAAGGCUGUAAUCCUAUGUACACUUACCUGGGAGGAAGUCCCAUUGUACUUCAUGGAACCUGUUUCUGAAUAUACAUGCACAGGAUCAGUCUGCACAAAAACUCAAGACCAUUCUACAUGGCAUUUUAUUUCUUAAGUGUUUUUCUGGACCAGCCAAGUCUGAGGUUGUGAUUUAAAGUUUCCUGGUCAGAACCCACUGGAAGCUCCAGGUCAUCAUAUUUUUUCCUGUAGAUGACCCGUGAGGUCAGAGUUAUGAGAAACAUUUCCAAAAUGAGCAGCUGUUGGUUCAUAUCUGGCAAAUUAAAGGAGAAAAACAACAGGUGCCUUUCUCUAGCAAGUGCUGAGCACCAGGGCUGUACCGUCCUUGGGUCUGCCAAGUUCAGUCUGUUUGCAUUUGAUCUGGAUUUCAGGAUAUACUUUUUUCUACAACACUUCCUCCCAUGCAUAGGAAAAGGAACUCAGCAACUGCUAUAUUUUUAGCAUGUGAAGACUUCAUGGACUGUAAAUAUUGUUCAAUUCUUCAUUGUUACUCAAAAAUGUUGAAAGAAGCUAUCACAAUAUAGGAAUGAAUU